AUGUCUUCUAAUGAAGGAGAUGCACAGAAGGGGCCCGGAGCAUUUGGUCAAUCGCUGUCUUUGUUGCUCUCUUCCUAGCACCUUCUAAAGAGCUCAGAUGAAAAGCCAGACAACAGUUCAGGAGCUGUCAUCCAGGCUUGGUGUACUCCAGAGGUCUGUGUCCCACAGAGAACCUUCUGCCACCACUCCCCAUGGCUGAGGACUGGUGUCCUUACUGGUGCGUGUGCUUCAAGAUGUCUUUGAUUUGCAGUGGACAACAGAUAUAACCCGUGGAUCUUCUACAUCUGCAGAGUGACUUCUCCCAGCUCCCCCCUUCUCGCCCUUACGUUCUACCUGAGGCCUCAGAGAAGGUCAGAAGCACUCAGUACAUUAUAUGUGUUUUCAGUUAGGAACUUAAAUCAGGUUGGAGCUCAGUACGGGGUGGGGCAGAGCAUGGUUUGCUCCCAGCACAGUCCGAGUGACAGUGCAAUUGGUGAGGGCUCUGCGUGUCACCUCUUAUUGUCAUACGUACCACAUUGAUGGCUCUGUGACACUCAGCAGUGACAGCCUGCAGUCUGUCUGGAGGAUAUUCCUCAUUUCACUUCCCAAACUCCAAUAUUCCCUAUCAACUUGAUGUCUCCUCUCUAUUUUUGUUACUAAACCGGAUUUAUAUUAAAGAUAGAAGCUUGUUGAAUUGAGUGAGCAUGCAUUAUUUAAUUAAAGGGAUGAUGAAAAUGUGUGUCUGAAAUUUCCUGUAAACAUUGAUUUCUGGGAGGUUGUCCAUAUUUUGUUUGGCAAAUUGACACCUGUGUAGUACUUCCUUGGAGGAAGCCGGUUUGUGUUGAAAGCACUUGCUUAUUUAAGGCUGCUUAGAACACGCUCUGAAGCCAGGCUGCAUCAGGCUGCUUGAACUGAUUUCAGCUUUCAUUAAGCAAAUGAACACACCCCUGUCUCUUUACAUCACGGG